AUGGAUCAGGGCAUAGGCACGUACACCUUCGACACAGCGAGUCGUGUAUGGAGACAGGUUGGCAAAUGGGUACUACCCUUCUAUGGCAAAGCUGAGUAUGUCCCUGAGCUCAAACUCUGGUUUGGCCUCUCAGAAUGCAAUGGCUCUCCCAGGUUAUGCGCCCUGGACCUCUCUGCCAUGGACGCUGAGCAGCCACCAACACUGCAGAAUACUUGGGAUUAUCUUGAUCUGUUUGAGGAUAAGAAGACGGUGAUAUCUGAACACCAUCUGGUUAACUUGGGCUCUGGCAUGUUUUGCAUUGCCACGCUCCUUAGGACUAUUCUGCACACAUUUAGCCCAGACUCCCCAUGCUCUUCAGGUGAGGAAAUUAUGAUGGAUAUGAUGGAUGGGGAGUUUAUUUUCUUAACUGGUGUGGAAGUGGAGAGAUGCUGCAACGAAGGUCAGGCUCCUUUCAAGAUGAUCAAGCACAAGUCUAUAUAUUAUGACUUGAAACACCGUACCAUAAAGUCCGUGCUCUAA
rnacentral:rRNA from 1 species